UGGGGAAUCUUGCGCAAUGGGCGAAAGCCUGACGCAGCGACACCGCGUGGGGGAUGAAGGCCCUCGGGUUGUAAACCCCUUUCGGCAGGGACGAAGCGAAAGUGACGGUACCUGCAGAAGAAGCCCCGGCUAACUACGUGCCAGCAGCCGCGGUAAGACGUAGGGGGCGAGCGUUGUCCGGAUUCAUUGGGCGUAAAGAGCGCGUAGGCGGCCCGGAAAGUGGGAUGUGAAAACCCGAGGCUCAACCUCGGGCGUGCAUUCCAAACUCCCGGGCUCGAGGCAGGUAGGGGAGAUCGGAAUUCCUGGUGUAGCGGUGAAAUGCGCAGAUAUCAGGAGGAACACCGGUGGCGAAGGCGGAUCUCUGGGCCUGAUCUGACGCUGAGGCGCGAAAGCUAGGGGAGCGAACAG
rnacentral:rRNA from 1 species